CUACUCCACCCUCAAGGCCGUCACCACCAGAGCCACCAUCUCCGGCCUCAAGCCGGGCACGCGCUACGUGUUCCAGGUCCGAGCCCGCACCUCUGGUGACAGCCCCCCACACACCAUGGCUGGUACUGAGAUGAGUGUCAGGGUCUGGGACCAGCAGCAUCGGUCUCACCUGGGGACUUACCAAAAAUGCGAAUUCCCAGUCCUCACCCCAGCCCUUCAGAAACUCUGUGGCUGGGCCCAGCCAUUUGGGUUUUAAGAAGCCCUCGGUGGUCCCCAGGCACUGUCACAUUUGGGACCCUCUGACUUCGAGGCUGUCCCUUUCACUCUUCUCCUGCCCCAAUCUCC
rnacentral:lncRNA from 1 species